CACCCAGUUUUUCUGAUGCACACCCAGAGUCUCUUUUCUGGCUACGCUCCUGCUUGACACUACCAAAAGCAUUGAGAUUUUUAAACAUGUUUACAAUAUUGUUAUUGGCCACUCUGGGGUCUGGUCAGGAUGUUUCUCCUACUAAGUAUGGGAGUUUGAUCUUGUUUCACAUCAGGAUGAAGUCUUUUUUCAUGGGUUAAAGUCUUUUUUACAGCCUGUUUUAUUUUGAUUGGCGGAUCUGUCUGUGUAUGGCUGCCUCUUUGAUCUGGGUCAGCGACUGUGCUCAGAGGUUGCUGCCAAUGAAAGUGAGGAAUCCCUCCAAUGAUUAGUGAAACACCACCGGUCAUGCCAUUUCAACAUGGAAAAAUACAGGGAGGUGUUUAAAUACUGCUUGCUCUUGCCCACUUUGGCUGAAUUUGCUAGAUAACAUGGACCAGUGGGUUUCAG